UGAGGAAUAUUGGGCAAUGCCCGAAAGGGUGACCCAGCAACGCCGCGUGAAGGAUGGAGGCCGUAAGGUUGUAAACUUCUUUUGUAUGGGACGUAAAAGCUUGUUGAUAGCAAGCAUUGACGGUACCUUAAGAAAAAGCCCCGGCUAACUACGUGCCAGCAGCCGCGGUAAUACGUAGGGGGCAAGCGUUGUCCGGAUUUACUGGGUUUAAAGGGCGCGUAGGCGGGUUUGUAAGUCAGCGGUGAAAUCCUAUAGCUUAACUAUAGAACUGCCGUUGAUACUGCAAGUCGUGAAUUAUGAGGAGAGUAGCGGAAUUCCAGGUGUAGUGGUGAAAUACGUAGAUAU
rnacentral:rRNA from 1 species